UCUAAAAAUUUCAGUUCGAUAAAUUUGUAAGAAAAAUAUAUAUAUAUGUUUAUUUUAACAAAAAUUGGCAAUAGGGAUGUAUACAGACCCUUUAAUACACGCUUUAGAAUGUUGUUUGUAAAUAAAUAAUGGAACUUGUUUGUAUAUAUUAUAUAAAAAUAUGUGAAUCUAUUAAGGUCACAGUUAAACGUAACGCUUAGUAAGGAAAAAAGUCUUGGCAACGUUGGUGUGUAUAUGUGUAUGUUAGGUAUUUAAAUAUAGAAAAAUGACAAUUGUGUAAAUCACUGAUAAUUCUUUUGAGAGACAACUACCAAACUUUUAUUAAAAAAUACCCUUUACUUGUAAUGAAAAUUUUCAAAAUUAUGUAUAUGAGUUAUUUGUGGAAGAUCCCAUUUUGACCUGGUGCGGUGUGAGUUGUUGUUUGUACUUGGAGGAAACGGUUAUGUUAAAGAUUACAGGAAAUUCACUGAAAAAGAGGCCAACGCGAGAUGCUAUUGAAAUUUGAGUUUUAGGUAACUCAAAUUAUUUCAGAUGGUUUUUGGAUCAGUAGUUACUAGGAAAUUUAGAACUACCAGCAGCGCCAGCUAUUUUUUUAUUUCUGAUGGUUUUUUGGAUGAGUAUUUACUGGGAAAACUACAUUUAGCAUCCGAAAUUAUUUGUCUUGUUUUUGUUUAAGGAAAACAAGUCUUGAAUUUUUGACUCCAUUGUCGCUGACAAAACCGAUUACGAUUUGUACCAACUGGUGACAAGAAUGUGAGCAAACAUGUGAUGCCUUAUUGUUGCUAGUGAAAACUGUAUAGAUACUUUUCACUGCGAUUUGUCGGAAAUCAAGUAGUCGUCACUAAACAGCAUGAUUGGAGGAAAAUAGCUGACGUGAUAUUCCAAGUACAAGUACAUUUUUCUCGGAUAUUAUUUUACGUAUUUAGCAAGCAAUUAUUAUAAAUGUUAAGAUAUAUUUUAAAUUGUAUGCGUUAUUUUAAUUAAUUUUUUAAAGUAAAAACUAAA